rnacentral:lncRNA from 1 species
GCCCUCCAAGGUGGAAGAGUGUUCGAGGAAGCCUCCAAACGUACCCGGCGGGGUGCCUUCGUCGUGUUUUCGUCAUCACCUGAAGAAGAGAGCCCACCAUCUUUUCACAACGCUUUGUAAACCGUGAAAGCUUUGUGCUCUCUUUUUGCAUUGGACUGCUCAAAUACGGCCUCCGUUAUCACCCUGGGUUUGAUUACGCCGUAACUAGCUAUC